rnacentral:rRNA from 1 species
AUUGAACGCUGGCGGCAGGCCUAACACAUGCAAGUCGAGCGAGCGGCGGACGGGUGAGUAAUGUAUGGGGACUGCCCGAUAGAGGGGGAUAACUUCUGGAAACGGUGGCUAAUACCACAUACUACCCGAUAACCCAUAUGGGAUUAGCUAGUAGGUGGGGUAAAGGCUCACCUAGGCGACGAGCCCUAGCUGGUCUGAGAGGAUGAUCAGCCACACUGUGACGGAGACACGGCCGAGAAUCCUACGGAGGCAGCAGGGGGGAAUAUUGCACAAUGGGCGCAAGCCUGAUGCAGGCAUGCCGCGUGGAUGAAGAAGGCAUUAGGGUUGUAAAGUACGUUCAGCGGGGAGGCGUUACCCGCAGAGGAAGCACCGGCUAACUCCGUGCCAGCAGCCGCGGUAAUAC